GAUGAACGCUGGCGGCGUGCCUAAUACAUGCAAGUCGAGCGAACGGACGAGAAGCUUGCUUCUCUGAUGUUAGCGGCGGACGGGUGAGUAACACGUGGAUAACCUACCUAUAAGACUGGGAUAACUUCGGGAAACCGGAGCUAAUACCGGAUAAUAUUUUGAACCGCAUGGUUCAAAAGUGAAAGACGGUCUUGCUGUCACUUAUAGAUGGAUCCGCGCUGCAUUAGCUAGUUGGUAAGGUAACGGCUUACCAAGGCAACGAUGCAUAGCCGACCUGAGAGGGUGAUCGCCCACACUGGAACUGGGACACGGUCCAGACUCCUACAGUAGGCAGCAGUAGGGAAUCUUGCGCAAUAGGCGAAAGCCUGACGGAGCAACGCCGCGUGAGUUAUGAAGGUCUUCUGAUCGUAAAACUCUGUUAUUAGGGAAGAACAUAUGUGUAAGUAACUGUGCACAUCUUGACGGUACCUAAUCAGAAAGCCACGGCUAACUACGUG
rnacentral:rRNA from 1 species